GAUGAACGCUGGCGGCGUGCCUAAUACAUGCAAGUCGAGCGAACAGAUAAGGAGCUUGCUCCUUUGACGUUAGCGGCGGACGGCUGAGUAACACGCGGAUAACCUACCUAUAAGACUGGGAUAACUUCGGGAAACUGGAGCUAAUACCGGAUAACAUAUUGAACCGCAUGGUUCAAUAGUGAAAGGCGGCUUUGCUGUCACUUAUAGAUGGAUCCGCGCCGUAUUAGCUAGUUGGUAAGGUGACGGCUUACCAAGGCAACGAUACGUAGCCGACCUGAGAGGGUGAUCGGCCACACUGGAACUGAGACACGGUCCAGACUCCUACGGGAGGCAGCAGUAGGGAAUCUUCCGCAAUGGGCGAAAGCCUGACGGAGCAACGCCGCGUGAGUGAUGAAGGUCUUCGGAUCGUAAAACUCUGUUAUCAGGGAAGAACAAAUGUGUAAGUAACUGUGCACAUCUUGACGGUACCUGAUCAGAAAGCCACGGCUAACUACGUGCCAGCAGCCGCGGUAAUACGUAGGUGGCAAGCGUUAUCCGGAAUUAUUGGGCGUAAAGCGCGCGUAGGCGGUUUUUUAAGUCUGAUGUGAAAGCCCACGGCUCAACCGUGGAGGGUCAUUGGAAACUGGAAAACUUGAGUGCAGAAGAGG
rnacentral:rRNA from 1 species